rnacentral:rRNA from 1 species
CGUCUAUAUACGUAUAGCAUAUCAAUAAGCGGAGGAAAAGAAACUAACUAGGAUUCCCUCAGUAACGGCGAGUGAAGCGGGAAGAGCUCAAAUUUGAAAUCUUCAAGGUUCUACCUUGACGAAUUGUAGUUUAAAGAAGUGUUUUCUGUUGGAGUUUUGGUAAAAGUUCUUUGGAAUAGGACAUCAUAGAGGGUGAGAAUCCCGUAUUUGACCAUUAUUUCCAACUUUGUGAUACACUUUCAAAGAGUCGGAUUGUUUGGGAAUGCAGUCCAAAAUGGGUGGUAAAUUUCAUCUAAAGCUAAAUACUGGCGAGAGACCGAUAGCGAACAAGUACCGUGAGGGAAAGAUGAAAAGAACUUUGAAAAGAGAGUUAAACAGUACGUGAAAUUGUCAAAAGGGAAGCGUUUGACACCAGUGUUGUUUUCUCGAAAAUCAAUUAAAAAUGGCGGGAUUUUGUGUUGUAUUGACUUUAUCAGCUUUCUGCACUUUUUUCCUGUCUUUUUUAAUGCACUUUUCGUUUAACAAGUCAACAUCAAUUUCUUUUGUUGUAAAAGAGUCAUUGGAAGGUGGCUUUCACUUCGGUGAAAGUGUUUAUAGCCUUUGGCUUCUGCAAUCGGAGAGAUUGAGGUCUGCAGCGUAGAUCCUUCGGGGUUAGAUACGUAGAUGCUAAGUUAUAGUUUUUCAUAGACAACUUGUUGACUAUGAUUAAUCAUGUAGCUUACUCGUUCGCGCUAUUUUACCUACGCUUAGGAUGUUGAUCUGUAGUGCGUGCGC